ACCUUAAGACUAAAUACCCUGAAGGCAGUUGAUGUGAUCUGUCUUGGGAGCUAAGCAGGGUCAGCCUUGGUUUGCACUUGGAUGGGAGACCGACAAGAGGUCCAAAGUGCCGGAGGCU
rnacentral:rRNA from 11 species